UGGGGCAUGGAUCAGGGUAGACCGCUCGCUCCUUAUGCGAGAAGUCUGGGCUUCGAUUCCCUAUACCUCCA
rnacentral:tRNA from 1 species